rnacentral:rRNA from 1 species
UACGUAGGGUGCGAGCGUUGUCCGGAAUUAUUGGGCGUAAAGGGUGCGUAGGCGGCGCGGUAAGUCGGGUGUGAAAUCUUGGAGCUUAACUCCGAAACUGCAUUCGAUACUGCCGUGCUUGAGGACUGGAGAGGAGACUGGAAUUUACGGUGUAGCGGUGAAAUGCGUAGAGAUCAUGAGGAAGACCAGUGGCGAAGGCGGGUCUCUGGACAGUUCCUGACACUGAGACACGAAGGCCAGGGAGCAAACGGG